rnacentral:rRNA from 1 species
CGAUGGUUCAUUCAAAUUUCUGCCCUAUCAACUUUCGAUGGUAGAGUAGUGGUCUACCAUGGUUUCAACGGGUAACGGGGAAUUAGGGUUCUAUUCCGGAGAGGGAGCCUGAGAAACGGCUACCACAUCCAAGGAAGGCAGCAGGCGCGCAAAUUACCCAAUCCCGACACGGGGAGGUAGUGACAAUAAAUACUGAUACAGGGCUCUUUUGGGUCUUGUAAUUGGAAUGAGUACAAUUUAAAUCCCUUAACGAGGACACAAUUGGAGGGCAAGUCUGGUGCCAGCAGCCGCGGUAAUUCCAGCUCCAAUAGCGUAUAUUAAAGUUGUUGCAGUUAAAAAGCUCGUAGUUGAACCUUGGGCCUGGCUGGCCGGUCCGCCUCACCGCGUGCACUGGUCCGGCCGGGCCUUUCCUUCUGGGGAGCCGCAUGCCCUUCACUGGGUGUGUCGGGGAACCAGGACUUUUACUUUGAAAAAAUUAGAGUGUUCAAAGCAGGCCUAUGCUCGAAUACAUUAGCAUGGAAUAAUAGAA